rfam:Schistosoma curassoni strain Dakar, Senegal genome assembly, scaffold: SCTD_scaffold0000681
AUCCAGUCGACGAGUCGCAAAUAAGAUGAAACGUACGUUAUGGAU